rnacentral:rRNA from 1 species
UACAGGGGGUGCAAACGUUGCUCGGAAUCAUUGGGCGUAAAGAGCGUGUAGGCGGCCCGGUAAGUCCGCUGUGAAAGUCGGGGGCUCAACCCUCGGAUGCCGGUGGAGUACUGUCGGGCUCGAGUACGGAAGAGGCGAGUGGAAUUCCUGGUGUAGCGGUGAAAUGCGCAGAUAGUCAAGGAGGAACACCUAUUGCGAGGCAGCUC